UUUAGGAGGGCUUUUGUGAUGCAGUUACAGUAUCCUUACCUCUGAUCCAGGAGCCUGGGUUCAAGUCCUACCAGCUCCAGAAAUAUGUAACGACACCUAUGAACAGGUCUUCAAGCAAUACGUAUGUUCCUCCGUGAAUCCUCCAAUGUACAUAGAUAGUCAGCUUGGCCUCACUUGUCACUUUCCGUUCAAAAUGUGGUGCAUUAUAAUCUGGAGACUAGAGGAUGUGUAAAGCCUUAGAGAAAAAAAAUGCUGCUCCGUGACUUCAGUACCUGAACAUUUGAAAGUACAAUUUGACUUUUUUCUGUCUGUUCGUCAGUGGAAAAUAUUUCUCUUUUUUAAAAAAAAAAAUGUAUUGACAUUGUGAACUACUGCUUGACAUUAAUUUGCUGUGAAGAUGUAGUUGUCUUGUGAAACUGGAUUGGAGAGUUGACUUAAAGCUUUCAGCCCGCUCCUCUUUGUUAGAUACAAGACGUGGAACACUAGUGCAGCUACAAAAUUAUUUCAAUUUGACUGUUUAAUAACGCAUCAAGGUUGCAAAGACUGUCACACAAACAGAUAUGAGAACAAUGCCUCCACAGCUUUGUGAUUUGCCAGCUAGAAGAAGUCAUUGUGUUUUAUGAUAAAAAUGAAAAUGAUUUUCUUUUUUUGUGGAUAAAAUGUAUAGCAGAAUGAAAGGCUCAGUUGCUGUUAGCCAUACAUCCCAUGAAUGAAUUAAAAAACA